UGAAUACGAGAUGCUACGGCGUCGAAGCAGUCUAUGUCAUACUUCCAAGAAAAGCUCGCACUGUCAUAAACAAAUAAUGCCUGUACCAUAACCGACACAGGUGGGUAGGUAGAGUAUACUAAGGGGCGCGAGAUAACUCUCUCUAAGGAACUCGGCAAAAUGACUCCGUAACUUCGGGAGAAGGAGUGCCUUAUUUAUAAGGUUGCAAUAACAAGAUCCAAGCAACUGUUUAUCAAAAACACAGGUCUCCGCUAAGUCGUAAGACGAUGUAUGGGGGCUGACGCCUGCCCAGUGCCAGAAGGUUAAAGAAGUUGGUUAGCAUUCGCGAAGCUGAUAACUGAAGCCCUGGUGAACGGCGGCCGUAACAAUAACGGUCCUAAGGUAGCGAAAUUCCUUGUCGGGUAAGUUCCGACCCGCACGAAAGGCGUAAUGAUUUGGAUACUGUCUCGGAGAGGGGCUCGGUGAAAUAGACUUGUCUGUGAAGAUGCGGACUACCUGCACCAGGACAGAAAGACCCUAUGAAGCUUUACUGUAACUUGAGAUUGAAAUUGGACUUUACUUGCGCAGUAUAGGUGGGAGGCGUUGAUAAUAUUCUUGCGGGAUUAUUUGAGCCAUCAGUGAGAUACCACUCUUGUAAUGUUAGAUUUCUAACUUUGUAUCAUUAUCUGGUCAAAGGACAGUUUCAGGCGGGCAGUUUGACUGGGGCGGUCGCCUCCUAAACGGUAACGGAGGCGCACAAAGGUUUCCUCUGAACGGGUAGAAAUCGUAUCUAGAGUGUAAAGGCAUAAGGAAGCUUGACUGUGAGACCUACAAGUCGAGCAGGGACGAAAGUCGGUCUUAGUGAUCUGACGGUGCUGAGUGGAAAGGCCGUCACUCAACGGAUAAAAGUUACUCUAGGAUAACAGGCUGAUCUCCCCCAAGAGUUCACAUCGACGGGGAGGUUUGGCACCUUGAUGUCGGCUCAUCGCAUCCUGGGGCGGUAGUACGUCCCAAGGGUUGGGCUGUUCGCCCAUGAAAGCGGUACGCGAGCUGGGUUCAGAACGUCGUGAGACAGUUCGGUCCAUAUCCGGUGUAGGCGUUAGAAUAUUGAGAGGAGCCUUCUUUAGUACGAGAGGACCGAGAAGGACAUACCUCUGGUGUACCAGUUAUCGUGCCAACGGUAAACGCUGGGUAGCUAUGUAUGGAGUGGAUAACCGCUGAAAGCAUCUAAGUGGGAAGCCCACCUCAAGAUAAGUA
rnacentral:rRNA from 1 species